CCAGACUCCUACGGGAGGCAGCAGUGGGGAAUAUUGCACAAUGGGGGAAACCCUGAUGCAGCGACGCCGCGUGAAGGAAGAAGUAUUUCGGUAUGUAAACUUCUAUCAGCAGGGAAGAAAAUGACGGUACCUGACUAAGAAGCCCCGGCUAACUGCGUGCCAGCAGCCGCGGUAAUACGUAGGGGGCAAGCGUUAUCCGGAUUUACUGGGUGUAAAGGGAGCGUAGGCGGUUUAGCAAGUCAGAAGUGAAAGCCCGGGGCUCAACUCCGGGCAUGCAUUGGAAACUGGCGGGCUGGAGUGCCGGAGAGGUAAGCGGAAUUCCUAGUGUAGCGGUGAAAUGCGUAGAUAUUAGGAGGAACACCAGUGGCGAAGGCGUCUUACUGGACCGAAACUGACGUUGAGGCUCGAAAGCGUGGGGAGCAAACAGGAUUAGAUACCCGCGUAAG
rnacentral:rRNA from 1 species